rnacentral:rRNA from 1 species
GCCGCGUGAGUGAAGAAGGCCCUUGGGUUGUAAAGCUCUUUCGUCGGGGAAGAAAAUGACUGUACCCGAAUAAGAAGGUCCGGCUAACUUCGUGCCAGCAGCCGCGGUAAUACGAAGGGACCUAGCGUAGUUCGGAUUUACUGGGCUUAAAGAGUUCGUAGGUGGUUGAAAAAGUUGGUGGUGAAAUCCCAGAGCUUAACUCUGGAACUGCCAUCAAAACUUUUCAGCUAGAGUAUGAUAGAGGAAAGCAGAAUUUCUAGUGUAGAGGUGAAAUUCGUAGAUAUUAGAAAGAAUACCAAUUGCGAAGGCAGCUUUCUGGAUCAUUACUGACACUGAGGAACGAAAGCAUGGGUAGCGAAGAGGAUUAGAUACCCUCGUAGUCCAUGCCGUAAACGAUGUGUGUUAGACGUUGGAAAUUUAUUUUCAGUGUCGCAGCGAAAGCGAUAAACACACCGCCUGGGGAGUACGACCGCAAGGUUAAAACUCAAAUGAAUUGACGGGGACCCGCACAAGUAGUGGAGCAUGUGGUUUAAUUCGAAGAUACGCGCAGAACCUUACCAACACUUGACAUGUUCGUCGCGACUCUAAGAGAUUAGAGUUUUCGGUUCGGCCGGACGAAACACAGGUGCUGCAUGGCUGUCGUCAGCUCGUGUCGUGAGAUGUUGGGUUAAGUCCCGCAACGAGCGCAACCCUCACUUUUAGUUGCCAUCAUUAAGUUGGGCACUCUGAAAGAACUGCCAGUGAUAAGCUGGANGAAGGUGGGG